AACAACAGAGAGUGGCGCAAGAGUGUGUGGAGCAGUUCGUCGUCAGUUUCCCCCGGUUCACCGUCUCUCCACCCGUUUACAGGAACGUUACUGAUGUAAAUGCGUUAUGAAUGCCCAUCGACCCAGCCAUUGAGAAAGAUCACCAACUGCAAGAGCGGACACCAGAGAGCCUAUUGUCUUCAUCAAGAGACAUCAAGUGCUGGCAGGACAAAUCUCGAGGAGCCACACGAGAGCAAAGCUGUAGGAGAUAAAGAUUUUGAAUAUGUCCUCGCUACAUCUGAUAGAUAUUACCUGUGAGGGGCAGAGCAUCUCCUGGAGGUUCAACG